AUCUAGACUGACAGUCCCAAAUAGGACGAAAUGCGCAUCCUGGAU
rfam:Trichobilharzia regenti genome assembly, scaffold: TRE_scaffold0035412